UACGGAGGGUGCGAGCGUUGUUCGGAAUUACUGGGCGUAAAGCGCGUGCAGGCGGUCGAUUAAGUCCGGUGUGAAAGCCCGGGGCCCACCCCCGGAAGUGCGCUGGAAACUAAUCAACUAGAGUACGGGAGAGGGAAGUGGAAUUCCUGGUGUAGCGGUGAAAUGCGUAGAUAUCAGGAGGAACACCGGCGGCGAAGGCGGCUUCCUGGACCGAUACUGACGCUGAGACGCGAAAGCGUGGGGAGCAAACAGG
rnacentral:rRNA from 1 species